AGAGUUUGAUCCUGGCUCAGAAUGAACGCUGGCGGCGUGCUUAACACAUGCAAGUCGCACGAGAACGCUUCAGCUUGCUGGAGCUAGUAAAGUGGCGUACGGGUGAGUAACGCGUGGGUAAUCUAUCUCUGAAUUGGGGAUAACAUUGCGAAAGCGAUGCUAAUACCGGAUAAAAUCCAUUAGACCCCGGUUUUUUUGGAUCAAAGGUGGCCUCUACAUGUAAGCUACUGUUUGGAGACGAGCUCGCGUACCAUUAGCUCGUUGGUAGGGUAAUGGCCUACCAAGGCAACGAUGGUUAGCUGGUCUGAGAGGACGAUCAGCCACACUGGAACUGACACACGGUCCAGACUCCUACGGGAGGCAGCAGUGAGGAAUUUUGCGCAAUGGGGGAAACCCUGACGCAGCAACGCCGCGUGAGUGAUGAAGGCUUUCGGGUCGUAAAGCUCCGUCAAGUGGGAAGAACCCGUGCCGUACAAAUAGUGCGGUGCGCUGACGGUACCACUGAAGGAAGCACCGGCUAACUCCGUGCCAGCAGCCGCGGUAAUACGGGGGGUGCAAGCGUUAUUCGGAAUCAUUGGGCGUAAAGAGCGCGUAGGCGGUCUUCUAUGUCAGGUGUGAAAGCCCGGGGCUCAACCCCGGAAGUGCAUUUGAAACUGGGAGACUUGAGUAUGGGAGAGGGAAGUGGAAUUCCUGGUGUAGCGGUGAAAUGCGUAGAUAUCAGGAGGAACACCGGUGGCGAAGGCGACUU
rnacentral:rRNA from 1 species